UACGUAGGGGGCUAGCGUUAUCCGGAAUCAUUGGGCGUAAAGCGCGUGUAGGCGGUCCGGUAAGUCCGCUGUGAAAGUCGGGGGCUCAACCCUCGGAUGCCGGUGGAUACUGUCGGGCUUGAGUACGGAAGAGGCGAGUGGAAUUCCUGGUGUAGCGGUGAAAUGCGUAGAUAUCUGGAGGAACACCGGUGGCGAAGGCGGCAUCCUGGACCAACACUGACACUGAGGAGCGAAAGCCAGGGGAGCAAACGGG
rnacentral:rRNA from 1 species